rnacentral:sRNA from 1 species
GACACUGAAAAUCAGUAGAAGAAAUACGCCACAUUUAUUCUACCGGAGAAGACAGUGGGAAACCUGAAACUGCCAUUGAGCAGAAGGAAAACAUCCCUUUCCAGAACCUUUCUCGUUUUUCUAAAAAUCUGCACUUUUGGAAGUGAUCCCCCAAAGAGACCUCCAGACUCUACCAUGAGUGUCUCCAGCUGAACUCAUCGUGUCUAAUCCUCACCCUAGCUUAUCCUGUUCAAAUCAUUUCCAUCUUUUUCUGGAUGAACCUGGGCGGAUGUCAGACCAGAGAAGAGCACAGAAUGUACCAGAGAGAGUCUUGCUCUGUCACCCAGGCUGAAGUGCACCCAGGCUGAAGUUGGAGGCUAUGGUGAGCUGCACCACUACACCACUAUGGGAGGCCGAGGCGAGUGGAUUGCCUGAGCUCAGGAGUUCGAGACCAGCCUGGGCAACGUUGUGAAACCCCGUCUCUACUAAAACACAAAAAAUUAGCCAGGCCUGGCGGCGUGUGCCUAUAGCCCAGCUACUCAGGAGGCUGAGGCAGGAGAAUUGCUUGAACCCGGGAGGUGGAGGUUGCAGUGAGCCGAGAUUGCGCCACUGCACUCCAGCCUUGGUGACAGAGUGAGACUCCGUCUCAAAAAAAAAAACAGAAUAUAAGGUGAAGGCCAAGCAGGGUGGCACAUACCUGUUGUCUCACCUACUCAAAAGGCUGAGGCCAGAGGAGGAUUGCUGGAAGUGAGUUCAAAGCCAGCCUAGAGAAUA